rnacentral:misc_RNA from 1 species
UAAUAAGUGUUUUAUGGCACUUUUUUAAAUCCAUAUCCCACCUUGUGUGCAAUGUCAGUCGAUCUUCUUCAUGGAGAUCGACCAAACAUCAACCUUUAUUUUUUAAACCUCUUUGUCUGAAAAAUAUUAUGAAUAAACAAUUCAAAAUA